rnacentral:rRNA from 1 species
UGGGGGAUAUUGCACAAUGGGCGAAAGCCUGAUGCAGCGACGCCGCGUGGGGGAUGAAGGCCUUCGGGUUGUAAACUUCUUUUGCUCUGAACAAGGCGCACCAUGGGGUGUGUUGAGUGUAGGGGUUGAUUAGCGCCGGCUAACUACGUGCCAGCAGCCGCGGUAAUACGUAGGGCGCGAGCGUUGUCCGGAAUUAUUGGGCGUAAAGGGCUUGUAGGUGGCUGGUUGCGUCUGUCGUGAAAGCUCAUGGCUUAACUGUGGGUUUGCGGUGGGUACGGGCUGGCUUGAGUGCAGUAGGGGGGGGUGGAAUUCCUGGUGUAGCGGUGGAAUGCGCAGCUAUCAGGAGGAAUACCGGUGGCGAAGGCGGGUCUCUGGGCUGUUACUGACACUGAGGAGCGAAAGAAUGGGGAGCGAACAGG